AAAAAUGGGAGUUUCCCUGUACAAGCUCUCUCUUUGCCUGCUGCCAUCUGUGUAAGAAGUGACUUGCUCCUCCUUGCCCUCCGACAUGAUCAUGAGGCCUCCCCAGCCACAUGGAAUUCAGGAAGCAAAGGACUCUGAAAUGGUGGAACACGAUGCAAGGAACCUGUAUCCUUGGGUUUACCCCUCAGAGGAAAACCACCCUGGAGAGUUGCUCAUACAGGAACCAUCUCAUAGGACUUUGUGUGAGUGAAAAAUCAACCUUUGGUUAAGCCACUGAAAUUUCAGGGUUUCUUCGUUACCACAGCAGAUUCUAGUCUACCUGACUGUCUCAGUCUGUUUGUGUCGGUAUGCAGAAAUAUCUGGCUGGGCG
rnacentral:lncRNA from 10 species